AAACCAUGAUGAGGGCAGUCUCUCUCAUACUCCUUGAAUCGCUCCCAGGCUUCAUAGAAUGAUUCUAUUGGGCUUUGUUGGAAACUUUGUAUCUUGUUUCUCAGCU
rnacentral:snoRNA from 1 species